UGUCUCAAUCUUUGCAGUUGACCUUUGGCGAGCAAAACACAAAGAAGCAAGCACAUGGCAUUCUCGCUUAUUCUUUGGAUCAAGGUGUCAGUAUCCUAGACACAGUAGAAAUUUUCCAACUAACAAGGAAAAUCGAGAGACAACUUAUCUUUAUAUUAGCAGGUGGAUGCAAUCAAAACCAAAAUGCAAGUUGCAAGUCUGGAACGACCGACUAUCAUUCACUGUUGCAAGUGAUUUCUAUUGUUAAGAAGCUAUGAGCGAAAAUUUUGUGUCUCAAGUAUGAACGCUUAUGCUUUUCUGGAUUAAUUGAAACGUCUUUCAUCUUCUAUGACUAUGCAUGUGUUUU